UUAACUUCCUGUUAGCAUGCUAACAGACAGUUAGCGUGUUAACUUGGAGAGGUUUCUUGCCUCUUCUCCACAGACGCUGCUCUGCUUCUCUGAAGACGUCUCAGCAGCACUGCAACAACUAAAAAAAACUUACUUUUUGCAGUGCGGACCCACGCGCAGAAGAAGGGCAUUAUGGGUAACUGUAGAGGAGCCCACGCCCAGCAGCUCUCAGCAAUGUGUCCUCUGAGUCUGAGCAAGCUGAUUGGUUGAUUAAACGUCAGGAUGAUACGUUUCAUUUGAUCGUUUCGGAUUAAAACACAUUUCCUUCUUCAGAUAUUUCCUCCAGCAGGAGGGAGACGGAGAAGAGUUUCCUCCUCUGGUCUGUCACUACUGAGCGUGCUCAGUGACUUUCGCUGCUGCUUCAUCUUAAACAGGAACUUUAUUCAACUGAAGCAGAACAAAAAGAGAAAUCCGCCGAGUCAGCUUGUUUCAUGAUUUAGUUUCUAUUAGAGUGAUAUAACAGUGGACACAGUAAUGUUCUCAGCUUCAGAAUCGUUCACUUGUUUUAGGACGAAACAAACGACUCGAUGAACCUUUGAUGAACGGAUGAACUACAUUAAUGUUUGCACGAUGUGUACAUGCACACAUCAGAGCUCCUGAAAUACUUCUGAUGUGAAUCAGGACAAAUUGGACAGAAAGUAUAUUUGAAACGGUCGCUGAAAUGUUGCCGUUCAGGUCACAUCGUUUGUGCCUGUUGGUGGAUUAGUUUCAUGUGUACGAGUCAUCCUCACAUCUCAGAGACAGCAGAGAAUAAAAAUACUCCAAUAACCAUUAAAAUAAAUAAAUCAAAUCUUCUUUUCUGUCUCUCUGCGUCAGACUGAAGCCUUUACAAGAUAUAUAUUUACGUGUGAUUUUAUUUUGGGGUUUUAUUCUUUCUGUUUCUUGUAUUGACCCUGUGAGGUUAUGACCUGAAAUGUUCAGUCCUCUGUCCCCUUUAAAGAAAGUCAACAGAUUAAAUGAAAUAAAUAAAUAAAAGAGCAGCAGGUGCUGCAGAUGCUUCA